GACGAACGCUGGCGGCGUGCCUAAUACAUGCAAGUCGAGCGGACGAACCGAAAGCUUGCUUUUGUUUCGUUAGCGGCGGACGGGUGAGUAACACGUGGGCAACCUGCCCUGUAGACGGGGAUAACGCCGAGAAAUCGGUGCUAAUACCGGAUAACACGAAAUGUCUCAUGACGUUUCGUUGAAAGACGGCGCACGCUGUCGCUACAGAAUGGUCCCGCGGCGCAUUAGCUAGUUGGUGAGGUAACGGCUCACCAAGGCGACGAUGCGUAGCCGACCUGAGAGGGUGAUCGGCCACACUGGGACUGAGACACGGCCCAGACUCCUACGGGAGGCAGCAGUAAGGAAUCUUCCGCAAUGGACGAAAGUCUGACGGAGCAACGCCGCGUGAGCGAAGAAGGCCUUCGGGUCGUAAAGCUCUGUUGUUAGGGAAGAACAAGUAACGCAGUAACUGGCGUUACCGUGACGGUACCUAACGAGAAAGCCACGGCUAACUACGUG
rnacentral:rRNA from 1 species